rnacentral:rRNA from 1 species
GAUGAACGCUGGCGGCGUGCCUAAUACAUGCAAGUCGAGCGAACGGACGAGACGCUUGCUUCUCUGAUGUUAGCGGCGGACGGGUGAGUAACACGUGGAUAACCUACCUAUAAGACUGGGAUAACUUCGGGAAACCGGAGCUAAUACCGGAUAAUAUUUUGAACCGCAUGGUUCAAAAGUAAAAGACGGUCUUGCUGUCACUUAUAGAUGGAUCCGCGCUGCAUUAGCUAGUUGGUAAGGUAACGGCUUACCAAGGCAACGAUGCAUAGCCGACCUGAGAGGGUGAUCGGCCACACUGGAACUGAGACACGGUCCAGACUCCUACGGGAGGCAGCAGUAGGGAAUCUUCCGCAAUGGGCGAAAGCCUGACGGAGCAACGCCGCGUGAGUGAUGAAGGUCUUCGGAUCGUAAAACUCUGUUAUUAGGGAAGAACAUAUGUGUAAGUAACUGUGCACAUCUUGACGGUACCUAAUCAGAAAGCCACGGCUAACUACGUG